CAUAUAAUCCAGGAAAAACUGACAUUUUACCUUUGAUGCCGCCAAAGUCGAGGUGGUACAGCGACCCUACGAUAACAGAGGAUUGCCCGAGGGAUAAUCCUAGGAGGGACUUUUGCAGUGGAUUUGGGGAUUGGGUCGACACAAUCACUUCCAUCCAGGGAAAGUAAGCCCUCGACACAUGGAAUGAAUGCGAUCACAGUCAACAAAAAGGAAUGCCUGAAAAGUUCAUUAAACGCAAAUUGUCUUGUGUGUGGUUGCUUCCUGCUCGGUUUGUUUACCCAGCAGAAAAUGCUGCUAAUUGUUCCAAGUUCAACCCGAUAACUGCAAUUCUGCAGCCUCCUGGGCGAUUCUGAGUACCUGACGGACUACGCAGUCGUGGGCAGGUGUGAAGCAGAGCCUUAUUAAAGUUUUGAUGACUGUGCCUCGUUUCUUCUCUGCGGGCUUCGCAGGUAAGCAAAGAUAAUUGCACGGGAAGCAGAUGGUUGCACAAGCAGGUGAGUCCCUCCACGAUUAAUUACGUUAUACGCGUGUGACAACACUCUCCUGUAGUCAGCAUAGGGUUACCGCGUCCUCCUCUGCCAGCCUCACGGCUGCAGUUUUUGGAGGUUUUGGGUGUCAAACAGUUUUAAUUCAAUGGGCAAUCAGAUAAUGCGGAGAGAAAUCCAUGGUUAAUGGCGCGGUUGAACAGGAAGCUCCUGCAUAUCAAUCAAUCUGACCGCCGGAACGCAAAUGAGCCACAGGAGAGAGCGGCAUCUCCAGCAACAAGCCACGCUCGGACUACCGAAGGUAAAUAGACGGAAUCAAAUGUCAGCGAACUAAUAAGUAGCAGGUGAAUGAAUUUUAAAGCAGUCAUAAACACAAUUUUAUAGAUGCAAGCUGUGUUUACGUGUCUCCCCUUCAAUUCCUCCAAGGCUAUUGAUCGUGAGCUGCCAUCCAUGUUUCAAUGUCAUAAUUCAUAUAUACUAACGUUAAUGUUUCAUCUGCCUACAAUCAUUAAGGCAGCCACGGUGGUGGUAGCCAACAUUAUCUGAUUCCGUUUCAACGGCAAUGAAGGGGAUUAGCCGCUCUAUGCUAAAUGGAUUACAAUGCUAAUCUCUGCUAUCACAUUAGCACGACACAAUAGGCCUCCGCUGCCGGGCUGACUUUAUUUUGCCUCCGAGUGGUUGGGGAAGGUGAGCGAUCCGUUUGGCCCCUGAUUGACGCCGACUAAUGAGCGUAAACACGGAUGGAAAACACUGACAAGUGCAAGCACACCCAGACUGUGUGGCUGGAUGAUAAUGACGCUCGCCCAGAGGAGAGUGCUCAUCCAUUGCUCUGUGACCAGACUGUGUGGGAGACACUCUGACCAUCUCCUGUAUCCCCCUCGUGGCAGUUGGAAUAACUACACAUGCGUGACUCGCAAAAAAAAAAAAAAAAAAAAAGAAUAUAUUACUUUCCAGGCCUUCAGAGACUAAAAGUGCAGAAUGUGUGACAUACUGACAACAGAACAAAAAAACUAAUGACACCACUUGUGCAGAUGGUCUUUUUUCAGCCUUCAAUGGGAAUAAUAAUGUUUCAUCUGACUCUCUGCAGGUCUAGCAGCUAGCAGAAGGAGCGAUGCUGUCAGUGAAGCCAUUCCGCUGCGAAAGCCGCGGGAUUACCCUCUCGCUGCCUCCACAUUUUGGCAGCGAAUGCCACAAAAGGCACAUAGGAAACUUCCUCGGACUCUACGCGUAAUCAAUUUGCCGCGGGCUCCGGCGCGACGCUGAGCCGACAACCAAACAAUAACCGUAGAGAGGAAUGGUUUUCAUCACCUCUCAUCUGGGAUCUGACACCACGCCAGCGAGAGCUGCGGGGGAACCCCCGGCUCGUUGACUGACCGCCGUGGCAUUCAAGCGGAGAAGGAACCAGAGAGUUACCGUGAGGGCUGAUGGUGUUGGACGUGAAAGGGGACAUGUGUCUGGAGGCUUCCCAACUCAUUUCUUCCUCAGCCUCGCCCUCCUUUGGCUCCAAAGAGGUGAAUGGCAGGGCCGCCUGUUAUCGCUGCCUCGGGAGUAAGUGGCGUGGGGUGUUUCACAGCUCUCCUUCUUGUGCCUCUAUCUCCUUCCAGCACAGGUGUCAGUUUGAGUGGACCACCUGCAGGUGCAUGGA